UACGUAGGGCGCAAGCGUUAUCCGGAAUUAUUGGGCGUAAAGAGCUCGUAGGCGGUUUGUCGCGUCUGCUGUGAAAGACCGGGGCUCAACUCCGGUUCUGCAGUGGGUACGGGCAGACUAGAGUGAUGUAGGGGAGACUGGAAUUCCUGGUGUAGCGGUGAAAUGCGCAGAUAUCAGGAGGAACACCGAUGGCGAAGGCAGGUCUCUGGGCAUUAACUGACGCUGAGGAGCGAAAGCGUGGGGAGCGAACAGG
rnacentral:rRNA from 1 species